rnacentral:rRNA from 1 species
GACCAGACUCCUACGGGAGGCAGCAGUGGGGAAUAUUGCACAAUGGGGGAAACCCUGAUGCAGCGACGCCGCGUGAGCGAUGAAGUAUUUCGGUAUGUAAAGCUCUAUCAACAGGGAAGAAGAUGACGGUACCUGACUAAGAAGCCCCGGCUAACUACGUGCCAGCAGCCGCGGUAAUACGUAGGGGGCAAGCGUUAUCCGGAUUUACUGGGUGUAAAGGGAGCGUAGACGGCGAUGCAAGCCAGAUGUGAAAGCCCGGGGCUCAACCCCGGGACUGCAUUUGGAACUGUGUGGCUGGAGUGUCGGAGAGGCAGGCGGAAUUCCUAGUGUAGCGGUGAAAUGCGUAGAUAUUAGGAGGAACACCAGUGGCGAAGGCGGCCUGCUGGACGAUGACUGACGUUGAGGCUCGAAAGCGUGGGGAGCAAACAGGAUUAGAUACCCGUGUAC